AGACCCGAAACCCGGUGAUCUAGCCAUGGGCAGGUUGAAGGUUGGGUAACACUAACUGGAGGACCGAACCGACUAAUGUUGAAAAAUUAGCGGAUGACCUGUGGCUGGGGGUGAAAGGCCAAUCAAACCGGGAGAUAGCUGGUUCUCCCCGAAAGCUAUUUAGGUAGCGCCUCGUGAAUUCAUCUCCGGGGGUAGAGCACUGUUUCGGCUAGGGGGCCAUCCCGGCUUACCAACCCGAUGCAAACUGCGAAUACCGGAGAAUGUUAUCACGGGAGACACACGGCGGGUGCUAACGUCCGUCGUGAAGAGGGAAACAACCCAGACCGCCAGCUAAGGUCCCAAAGUCAUGGUUAAGUGGGAAACGAUGUGGGAAGGCCCAGACAGCCAGGAUGUUGGCUUAGAAGCAGCCAUCAUUUAAAGAAAGCGUAAUAGCUCACUGGUCGAGUCGGCCUGCGCGGAAGAUGUAACGGGGCUAAACCAUGCACCGAAGCUGCGGCAGCGACACUGUGUGUUGUUGGGUAGGGGAGCGUUCUGUAAGCCUGUGAAGGUGUGUCGUGAGGCAUGCUGGAGGUAUCAGAAGUGCGAAUGCUGACAUAAGUAACGAUAAAGCGGGUGAAAAGCCCGCUCGCCGGAAGACCAAGGGUUCCUGUCCAACGUUAAUCGGGGCAGGGUGAGUCGACCCCUAAGGCGAGGCCGAAAGGCGUAGUCGAUGGGAAACGGGUUAAUAUUCCCGUACUUGGUGUUACUGCGAAGGGGGGACG
rnacentral:rRNA from 1 species